ensembl:lincRNA
GGGAGGGGGGGGAGAGAGAGAGGACAAACCAGUCAUGUACAAUCCAUCAAUGGUAUACUGCAUAUACAGUGGUGGUCCCAUAAGAUUAUAAUGGGUCUGAAAGAUUCCAAUCGCCAGUGACAUCAUAGGACAAUACUUAGCACUUGAUGCUGAUAAUAAUGACUACAGUUCUGAUUUGUGCAUUUACUCUACUGUUAUGGUUUAUGUCUAGAUGUUUCCCCAAGCCUCAUGGGCCCAUAGGUGAGGCUUUUGGGGAGGUGAUUGGAUCAAUGGGCUAUAAUACUAAUCAGUGGAUUGGCUCACUGAUGGUUUAUAGCUAACUGAUUUAGUAAGUAAAGCCUGGUUAGAGGAGGUGGUCACAGAGGGGGUGUGUGUGACCUGGAAGGAUCUACUUCCCUCCUCCUCCCUUGAUCUCUCUCUGCCUCCUGCUGCCCUGCCAUGGACUGCUUCUCCUCUGCCACCACCCUGCCUUGGAGCCAGCUGACUAUGAACUGAAACCUCUACAAACUAUGAGCUAAAUGAACCUCUCUGCCUUUAAGUUGUGAGUGUUGUAUAUGUGUCUCAGCGAUGAGGGAGAGAAUAGCUAAGAUCUAUACUUUUAGUCAUUAUUAUAUAUAUAAUCUCCUCAGGCAAAUUCUUCAGGAAGAUCCCAGAAAGAGGCCUGUUACCACAGGAGGUGACAGCUCUGCCCAUGCCCCUGCCCCUGCAGACUUUCCAAGAGACAAGAUGUGGAGGCAGAAGAUGGUGAUGUGCACGGUCCUCCCUCUGGUUGUCCCUCUGCCUGCACCCACCUGUCCUGUGUUCCACCACGUGUGCCCUGCUGUCUCCACUGCACCCACUUCUCUGGUCACUGCCACCUCCUAUACUGUCACCUGGGGAAGCUGCUGGUGUCAGCUUCACACGGGACGCUGCCCUGCUGUCCCUACUGGCAAUAAGACAUGUGCAGUUGUCCCGGAGGGACGGCCUCUGUUUCCCUGGUGUCCAGCUGUGUCUGUCUUGUCUACAUUUGUGCAUUAGGUAAGGUUCUCUAGAAGAACAAGAGCAAUAGAAAAAUGUAUGUGUGGUUACAGAUGCUGUACAUGAGGCAGGCUCACAGGAUCAGAGGGAGGCUGUGCUAGAGAGCAGAGGCUGCAGCAGCCCAGUCCAAGAUGAUGGAAACGGUAGGGCAAGAGGGCUGGAGGAUGCAGCACCAGCUCAGGUCCACGGCCCGGGGACCCCCUGAGAGUCUGCAUUGGAAGGGAAAGAAACUGGACAUGGAUGUCCACAGGCCACAGCAAAGACAAGGGCUCCUCCAAACGGGGACACUCCUGCUUUCCCUGUUAUUCCAUCCAGGCUGCAGGCCACCCUCUUCCAGGGUGGAUCUUAAGCCCCACUCUGCUGGCUGACAUCACAGAUACACCCAGAACAUGCUCCACUGCGCUAACCAUUCAAGCUGACAUUUCCCGAUCCACAGUCUGAGUUAGCUUAUCUGAGGAUCCAUCAGGCUAGCUCAAAAGACUGAAGAAGGACGCUGUACCACAUCUCUCCCUGCCCACCAUCAACCUGUGUCCAGGUAAUAUGAAGGUCAAAGCAGCCCUCAUCUCAGGAUGUCUUGGUUAAUUUUCUCCUUGCUGAAGCAAAACACCUGACACCCAAAGGUAAAGGAGGAAAGCUUUAUUUGGCUCACAGUUUGUAGAGGUUUCCAUCCAAGGCAGGGUGGUACUGCAGAAGAGAAACAGUUUGUGGCAGGCAGAAGGCAGCAAAGCAAGCAAGAGUGGACCACAGCUCUUUCUAGCCCUUAUCUUAUCCAGGCUGCUCAAGGUGAGUAGCACUCACACCCCUAAUCCUAGAGCCCUUGGUCUUAAACUGCACCAUGAAUCAAUCCCAGCAUCACACACUCUGGGUCCAGACACCUCUAAAAAAGCCCCA